rnacentral:rRNA from 1 species
AACUAGGCAAAAUGGCACCGUAACUUCGGGAGAAGGUGCGCCCUUUGGUGUGGUCACGUGCGUGACUGAGCAUCGAAGGGUCGCAGUAACCUGGCCGCUGCGACUGUUUAUCAAAAACACAGCACUCUGCAAACACGAAAGUGGACGUAUAGGGUGUGACGCCUGCCCGGUGCCGGAAGGUUAAUUGAUGGGGUCAGCCGCAAGGCGAAGCUCUUGAUCGAAGCCCCAGUAAACGGCGGCCGUAACUAUAACGGUCCUAAGGUAGCGAAAUUCCUUGUCGGGUAAGUUCCGACCUGCACGAAUGGCGUAACGACAGCGGCGCUGUCUCCACCCGAGACUCAGUGAAAUUGAAAUCGCUGUGAAGAUGCAGCGUUCCCGCGGCAAGACGGAAAGACCCCGUGAACCUUUACUAUAGCUUUACACUGAACGUUGAGUUCUUCUGUGUAGGAUAGGUGGGAGGCUAUGAAACCAGGACGCUAGUUCUGGUGGAGCCAUCCUUGAAAUACCACCCUGAAGUGCUUGACGUUCUAACCUAGGCCCGUAAUCCGGGUCAGGGACCGUGUAUGGUGGGUAGUUUGACUGGGGCGGUCUCCUCCCAAAGAGUAACGGAGGAGCACGAAGGUACGCUCAGCGCGGUCGGACAUCGCGCACUGUGUGCAAAGGCAUAAGCGUGCUUGACUGCGAGAUCGACGGAUCAAGCAGGUACGAAAGUAGGUCUUAGUGAUCCGGUGGUUCUGUAUGGAAGGGCCAUCGCUCAACGGAUAAAAGGUACUCCGGGGAUAACAGGCUGAUACCGCCCAAGAGUUCAUAUCGACGGCGGUGUUUGGCACCUCGAUGUCGGCUCAUCACAUCCUGGGGCUGUAGCCGGUCCCAAGGGUAUGGCUGUUCGCCAUUUAAAGUGGUACGCGAGCUGGGUUCAGAUCGUCGUGAGACAGUUCGGUCCCUAUCUGUCGUGGGCGUUGGAGAUUUGAGGGGGGCUGCUCCUAGUACGAGAGGACCGGAGUGGACGUUCCGCUGGUGUUCGGGUUGUCAUGCCCAUGGCAUUGCCCGGUAGCUACGAACGGAAGUGAUAACCGCUGAAAGCAUCUAAGCGGGAAGCACGCCCCAAGAUGAGAUCUCCCGAGAGCUUGACUCUCCUAAAGGCACCAUCAAGACUAGGUGGUUGAUAGGUCAGGUGUGGAAGCGCAGCAAUGCGUUGAGCUAACUGAUACUAAUGAGCCGUGAGGCUUGACC